UACGGAGGGUGCAAGCGUUAUCCGGAUUCACUGGGUUUAAAGGGUGCGUAGGUGGGUUGGUAAGUCAGUGGUGAAAUCUCCGAGCUUAACUUGGAAACUGCCAUUGAUACUAUCAGUCUUGAAUACCGUGGAGGUCAGCGGAAUAUGUCAUGUAGCGGUGAAAUGCUUAGAUAUGACAUAGAACACCAAUUGCGAAGGCAGCUGACUACGCGAAUAUUGACUCUGAGGCACGAAAGCGUGGGGAUCAAACAGG
rnacentral:rRNA from 1 species